CGUGGGGAACCGUGCCCCAUAGUCUGGGAUACCACUUGGAAACAGGUGCUAAUACCGGAUAAGAAAGCGGAUCGCAUGAUCAGCUUUUAAAAGGCGGCGUAAGCUGUCGCUAUGGGAUGGCCCCGCGGUGCAUUAGCUAGUUGGUAAGGUAAAGGCUUACCAAGGCGAUGAUGCAUAGCCGAGUUGAGAGACUGAUCGGCCACAUUGGGACUGAGACACGGCCCAAACUCCUACGGGAGGCAGCAGGA
rnacentral:rRNA from 1 species